AAUAGAUACCCCGGUAGUCCACGCCGUAAACGGUGGGCGCUAGGUGUGGGGAACAUUCCACGUUCUCCGUGCCGCAGCUAACGCAUUAAGCGCCCCGCCUGGGGAGUACGGCCGCAAGGCUAAAACUCAAAGGAAUUGACGGGGGCCCGCACAAGCGGCGGAGCAUGCGGCUUAAUUCGAUGCAACGCGAAGAACCUUACCUAGGCUUGACAGUUGGGGAAAUCUGGCAGAGAUGUCAGGUCCGCAAGGGCCCCAAAACAGGUGGUGCAUGGCUGUCAUCAGCUCGUGUCGUGAGAUGUUGGGUUAAGUCCCGCAACGAGCGCAACCCUCGUCGUAUGUUGCCAGCGGAUAAUGCCGGGGACUCAUACGAGACUGCCGGGGUCAACUCGGAGGAAGGUGGGGAUGACGUCAAGUCAUCAUGCCCCUUAUAUCUAGGGCUGCAAACAUGCUACAAUGGCCGAUACAAAGGGCUGCUAUACCGCGAGGUGGAGCGAAUCCCAUAAAGUCGGUCCCAGUUCGGAUUGGAGU
rnacentral:rRNA from 1 species